UGACAGAUCUAUGGAAAGAUUUUUUUUAACCAAUUCUUAAAAAAAUAAAUAUAUAAAUUGAUUUUGAAAUUUGCACACGUCGUCAUGAGAAAAGAACCACACGUCAUCACCAUAGAAACGCUUCUUCGCCCGGAAGUGAGGGGCAGUUUUAAAUUCAGGGUUAACUUUUUAUAUAAUGUCAAUGGGGUUAACGCAACUGUUUGUUUAGAAAUAUAUGACUCAGAAAAGGCCAUAAAUGUGUAUCUAGCUACUGUCAGGGAGGAACCCGGGGGACGUUUAAACCGUUUCAGACUGUACAAGACACCUAAAGAGUGAAUUCAGAAACAUUUGGAGAAUGCCUGGUCCUGUCUGUCGAUCUGCAUGUUGGAGUUAUCAGUCAACUUUGAAGCAGGCGGGCUCGGCCUACAUGCGUUUAAUCGGUAGAAAUGUUGCGUCAUGGUUUGGUCAACAUCAAUCGGAAAGUGUGGCAGGUGUACUGGGUUUUGGCUUGCUGUUGGAAAGCUAAAUGAGCUAAAGCUAACUAAGCCUACUUGCCAAUGAGCUGGACUAGCUUCAGCUGGAGACUACACGCGGGGGUGCUACAAUCUACUUAAGAGACUUGUGUUCACACCAUGUCCACUGGGUGGCAGUAUAGCCCCAGUAGUAAGCUGACAAGAACUCCCCCUGGAUGUCCUCAAGUUUAGUGUUACCCUCCGAGGGACGAAGUGAAGGGAAAUGUCACUUACACCAAACGCUGUUGUUAUAGCGAGGAGAGAGUACGCUGGAUUCUCCCAAGGAUUGCUCUUCUGAGAGGCUGCAGUUUAUUACAAAUGGGAAAGCUUUCAUUGCAGAUUGCCCCAGCCCUGCGUAGAGGUCCACCACCUGCCCUGGCCUGCGCUGCCUUUCCCCCAGCCAAGGAAGCUCAUGCCUGGGCACUCUGGGCAGCGGCCCAGCCUUUCACAUCCAGGUCCAGGGCCAAGAGACAGGGGCCAACAGCUGGCGGUAUGCAGAAGGAGCCUGGAGGCUUCCACAGCAGAUGAAUCACCACGGAUUAAUAUUUAACAACAGACUCCUGCUCCCCUCUAGCGUCUCUCCUCCCCCCACUCUCUUCUUACCACCUUCCUUCUCCCUGUAUCCAUCACUCCAUCCCCCAGUCCUGCAGCCUUUCAGCAGGUUCCUCUCGCCCAUCCUUCCACUACUGCAUCAUCAUCAUCAUCGUCCAGCAUGAUGUCCAAAACCACUGAGUUUCAGCAGCAAGAGGUGUAGUUUGAGUUGUCACGACAACCUGCGCGCCUGGCUCAUGGCUGCCGUCCAAGCGCAGACAAAGCUGUCGUCGAAUGAACCAGGCGUGUGUCCACCGGACCUGAGGGGUGCCGCCACCGCUAACAAAACACACAAAGACCCUCGCCCCUGGCACUGGCCCUCACCCCGUCUACCCGCUAUCCUGCCCCUCCCACACUCGGCUGCCUGCUGCUUUGUGCCUGCUCCAAGAAGAGGAAGUUCCUCUCAUCUUCUU